rnacentral:misc_RNA from 1 species
UUUCCGUAGGUGAACCUGCGGAAGGAUCAUUAACGAGUUAGGGUCUUCUAGGCCCGACCUCCCAACCCUUUGUUUACUGAACCAUUGUUGCCUCGGUGGGUCCGUCUUACGACCGCCGGGGAAUCGCCGCGAGGCGCCCCCUGGCCAGCGCCCACCGAUAGCCCAACCUUUAAAACCCUUUGUGAAUCGUGUCUUAUGUCUAAAUUUAUGAUUAAACAAUCAAAACAAAACUUUCAACAACGGAUCUCUUGGUUCUG